rnacentral:tRNA from 2 species
CGGGGCGUAGCUCAACUCGGAAGAGCGGGCGGCUGUAGACCGUCUUGUUGGGAGUUCGAAUCUCCUCGCCCCGA